AGCCUCCCUCGUCUGACGCCAGCGACGCUGCAGCCGUGCACUGCCAGGGGGGCUCCUGCAGGAGGGCGCCAGCGGUGGUCAGGGGUGCUGUCCAGCCGGUUCCGACUCAUAGUGACCCUAUGCACAACAGAAUGAAACACUGCCUGGUCCUGAGCCAUCCUCAGAGUCGUUGUUAUGCUUGAGCUCAUUGUCGCAGCCACUGUGUCAAUCCACCUCGUUGAGGAUCUUCCUCUUUUCUGCUGACCCUGUACUUUGCCAAGCAUGAUGUCCUUCUCCAGGGGCUGAUCCCUUCUGACAAUAUGUCCAAAGUAUGUCUCACCAUCCUUGCUUCUAAGGAGCAUUCUGGUUGUACUUCUUCCAAGACAGAUUUGUUCAUUCUUCUGGCAGUCCAUGGUAUGUUCAAUAUUCUUCGCCAACACCACAACUCGAAGGCGUCAAGUGUAUUUUCUGUCCCACUCACAAAACUAACCUCGAAAAUCCAACUAGGUCAUAGCCUCCCAGUAAAAUAUUUUUAUUUUCUUCUAAAAAACAAAACAGUAUAUAACCAAGAAAAGCCCAAACCCACUGCUGUUGAGUCAAUUCUGACUCAUAGUGACCCUACAGGACAGAGUAGAGGUGCCCCAUAGGGUUUCCAAAGCUGUAAAUCUUUACAGAGGCAGACUGUUUAUCUUUCACUGAACUGCUGACCUUUUUGGUUAACAGCUUAGUGCUUUAACCACUGUGCCAGCAGGGCUCCUUAAACAGCGUAUACAUUAUAAGAAACUAUAACACAAGAAAAACGUGAACUUCAACCAACUGGUUAACUGAUAAAGCCUUCUUGUCAAGGCUCUAUCUCCUCCCUGUCCUGUCUGAAAGUUUGCUCCGUAGGACUCUGAUCAUUUCACCCUUAAGCCCCGUAACCGUCUACACCACCCUCUGCCUCAGGCAUUGGUCUGGUCUGGAAUCCUGUAUACCUGUUCUCAGCUAGAGGUGAGUGCCAUCAAAGGGCUGGUUCUCCUCCCUGUUUACUUCACUCAUUUGAGAAAAGCGUGGGCCUUGGAUGUCAUGGUCCCCGGACCCUUUGUUAGCCGAGGAUUGGAACCAUUCCUGAAGCCAACUCUCCGGACAGGGAUUGGACUGGACUAUAAGAUGGAUAAUGGUGACAAAAACAAUGAGCGAUACCAUCAGGACCGGAGAUAAUUGAGCAAAACCCAGACCUAUCUUGUGACUGAAACCAGGAUGGUGUAAAGAGGCCUGCAAGACGUCAACAAUAGGUCACUUGGUCAUUAUGUCCCCCUCAAAGAAGAAUCAACAUUCCUGGAAAUCUCUAAACCCUGACCUUCUACCUAUAAAACUCUCUUGGGGCAGACAGAAUCUGGGGGAAAUUUAGCCCCCUCUGUCUCUUGAACGUGGUAUUCAAUAAAGCCCUGUUGCUGCUUACCUCCUCCUGUCUCAGUAUUGGCCUUGCAGCAGGCGGCUCGAAUCUGCGAUUUGCAGUAACAGAAGAAUGCUUCCUUCUUAAUUGUAUUACUCUAUCGCUGAGCCCUCCCAAAUGUUUUCUGCACUCCCCAUAUUUUAUGGAAUUUAGUAAAAGAGCUUUUGCACUUUUUACUUGCUCUUUACACUCUUCCUCUCUAUAGGUGUGAGUUCUUUAUAGAUGGGCUGGACCAAAAAACCAAUGGAACACAGAGACUCUGCUACACGGGAAUCACUCCUCCCUUGGCUGUGACAUGGAAAAUGUCUCACAUACUGUAUGACAGCGUGCAAAGUGGGAAAGGGCCACUAAAACAACCCACCCAAGGAAACAUAGCAGAAUUACAAUAUGAUUACAACUCCACUGAAACGCAUCUGCUGAUGGACAAACACUGGAAAUGAAUGAGCAAAAGUGAAAACGCGUUAUACACUUGUGAGAAUAUGGAUGAGCUCUGUCAUUCUCUAUUUUUAGAUUUUUUUUGUAAUGUCAUUAUAUAGACCUCGUAAUGAAAGGUAUAUUUUUAAAGUUUCAUAUCUAAACAUUUCCUGUUAUGUAAAUCAUAUUAAGAACAGCCAUAUUGGUUAAUAACAAAAAUAUUCUAAGUAUAACCAAUCCUAAUCUCAACAUCAGAUCAAAUAAAUUACUGUUGGUAAGGAGACUCGUGCCUUUAAAUUUGGCUUACAGGGAUGCAGAAUAGCAUAGAGGUUAUAAUGAACUUCUGGGGUCAGACAGACAUGGGUUGAGAUCCUGAGUUCAGAACUCAUUAGUUCUAUGAUUUUGAGCCACAGCUUCCUCAACUGUAAAUCAGAGAUAAUAACGACUCAAAUUUAUUGAGACUUUACUACAUGCCAUGCUUUACUUCAGUCUUCAUCUUAAUUUUAUGAUGUAGUUACGACUUCUUAUUUUACAGAUGAGAAAACUGAGUCUUACAAGGACAAAGUAACUUGCCUGGAAUCAUCUAGCCAAUUAAGAGUAGAGUUGGAAUUGAAAGCCAGGGUCAGUCUGACUCUAGGACUCUUAGUACCACCUUAUUCAACCUUACGUGGGGCUGUUGUAUAUAAUUUAAAGAGUUGCUGGCAGGAUAAAAGA